GCCGAUAUAGCUCAGGGGUAGAGCGUUUCCUUGGUAAGGAAGAGGCCACGAGUUCAAAUCUCGUUAUUGGCUCAA
rnacentral:tRNA from 1 species